rnacentral:rRNA from 1 species
AUUGAACGCUGGCGGCAGGCCUAACACAUGCAAGUCGAACGAGUGGCGGACGGGUGAGUAAUGUCUGGAAAACUGCCCGAUGGAGGGGGAUAACUACUGGAAACGGUAGCUAAUACCGCAUACCAUCGGAUGUGCCCAGAUGGGAUUAGCGAGUAGGUGGGGUAACGGCUCACAGAGGCGACGAGCCCUAGCUGGUCUGAGAGGAUGACCAGCCAGACUGGAAUUGAUACACGGUCCAGACUCCUACGGUAGGCAGCAGAGGGGAAUAUUGCAAAAUGGGCGCAAGCCUGAUGCAGCCAUGCCGCGUGUAUGAAGAAGGCCUUCGGGUUGUAAAGUACUUUCAGCGAGGAGGCGUUACUCGCAGAAGAAGCAUCGGCUAACUCCGUGCCAGCGGCCGCGGUAAUAC